GAGUUUGAUCCUGGCUCAGGAUAAACGCUGGCGGCGCACAUAAGACAUGCAAGUCGAACGGAAGUCGUUGUAAUGAUGUGGACAUAGACAGAGAACUUGUUCGAAGAAAAUGAAAAUUGACUUACAACAAUGGCUUUAGUGGCGGACUGGUGAGUAACGCGUGAGCAACCUGCCUGUUAGAGGGGAAUAACAGUGAGAAAUCAUUGCUAAUACCGCAUAUGCCAUAACUAUCACAUGAUAGAAGUGGGAAAGGAGUAAUCCGCUAACAGAUGGGCUCGCGUCUGAUUAGAUAGUUGGUGGGGUAACGGCCUACCAAGUCUACGAUCAGUAGCCGGACUGAGAGGUUGAACGGCCACAUUGGGACUGAGAUACGGCCCAGACUCCUACGGGAGGCAGCAGUCGGGAAUAUUGCGCAAUGGAGGAAACUCUGACGCAGUGACGCCGCGUAUAGGACGAAGGUCUUCGGAUUGUAAACUAUUGUCGUUAGGGAAGAGAAAGGACAGUACCUAAGGAGGAAGCUCCGGCUAACUACGUGCCAGCAGCCGCGGUAAUACGUAGGGAGCAAGCGUUAUCCGGAUUUAUUGGGUGUAAAGGGUGCGUAGACGGGAGAUUAAGUUAGUUGUGAAAUCCCUCGGCUCAACUGAGGAACUGCAACUAAAACUGGUUUUCUUGAGUGUUGGAGAGGAAAGCGGAAUUCCUAGUGUAGCGGUGAAAUGCGUAGAUAUUANGAGGAACACCAGUGGCGAAGGCGGCUUUCUGGACAAUAACUGACGUUGAGGCACGAAAGUGUGGGGAGCA
rnacentral:rRNA from 1 species